rnacentral:lncRNA from 1 species
UUUUUUUUAAUACAUUUGCAUCUUUAUUCUACAACACAAGCAACAGAAAUACAAUUUCUUUUAAAAUAGCUUCCUUUCAUAAUUUUCAAUUUGAACAAAAUAUACACAAAAUACAUUUACAAGCCAUCUCAUAGUGACCUGUUUGACAACAAACAGAUAGAUAAUAACCAAAUCAAAUGUCCACAGACCAAUACAGAGAGGAACUAGGGAGAAUGGUUUAUUUUUUCCUAAAAAUUAGAACAAAUGGACUUUGGAAUUGAUACAGAAGAGAUGGAAGGGAAAACCAAAUUUUGAACUUCCUUGUUGAGCUCAUAUUACGUCUUUAGGGGAAAGAAAAACACUUAAGACUUCUGGUGAAAAAAUGGCUAUGGUUGUACAGAUGAGUUAAGAAUCACUACAGAUGUAAGUAAAAGUUAUACUGACAUCAUCAUGGCAACACUAUAAUUUAGACAAUCUGUCUUUGAUUUAAAAUGCAAAAAAAAAAAAUUAGUCUUUGGCAUAAUGCUAAAAGGGCACAAAAGACUAAUCUUCUUUUCCCUGUUGGGGGAAAGAAACAUGGUGGGGGGGAGCAUAUUGUUUACUUUUUAGGUCAAAAAUUCUUAACUUUUUAUUUUGUGUUGUGGACUCCUUUAGUGAACUGGUAAAAGCUAUGGAUCCCUUUCCAGAAUCAUGUUUUUAAAUGCAUAAAAUAAAAUACAUAGGAUUACAAAGAAAACCAAUUAUGUUUAAAUACACAUAAAAAUAUUUUUAAAAAUUUCAUAGGCCCCAGAAUAAUAACCUCUAGGUCUUAGUCAAAAUUUAUUCAAGAGAGAAUGGAGAACUGGGCUUAUGAUACAAAAAGACGACUAGUUUUACAGCACUAUUAUUACAAUAAGACAAAAUACUGUACAUCAAAACAAAAUCCCUGACCUAUAAGCAAGCUGCUCUAUGCCCAUGCAAUAUCCUUCUUUCAAGCCACUAGCAAGCUGGCACAUUUAUUACUUAUAAUAAAGCCAUAAUAUAUUAGAACCAUUACUAAAUGGAUCUUAAUUGAUAAGGCCUGCCAAUUAGAGGGGAUUCUCUUUUUCUAAUAUAAGGAAAUAGAUGUAACUGGAACCAUUUGGGAUGCUUUAGAAGAAACACAGGAGAAUAGGGUAGCUUGCAAAUAACAAUGAGGUAGAUGUAAACAGACACUGGUAGUUGCAAUUUCUAUGUUCUUGAUUUGUGAACCUAAAAGGAUAAAGGGAAAACCUAUGAAAAAUAGCAUGACAAUAUAUGAUAUGCCAAUCAAUUCAGAGGAGAGGAUUUGGCACUUUUUUGGAGAAGAGGAAGGAAAGUGGUAACAUUCUAAUCUGAUAUCACUUGAAGACUUAAUGGUUGGUGAUUUAUAAAAUGUAAAAUGACAGUUUCUAACAUAACAUCAGGUUAAGAUCUAUUUUAAUUUUUAAAAUGAUUUUAGUAAGAGAAUGAAAUUAUUUACCUUUGAGUCACGUCAGAUUACAAGAAUUUGCAUCUCUGACAUUCUCUCUUUCUCUAAUACCUUUUAUAUCUGUUCCUUGUUCUCAUUAACUAUAAUCAAAUCUAAAUAAUUCAGAGUAAUUAGAGUAAAGAAUAUUCUGAGUCAGGGAAAAGUAUGACAUACAGAUUAGUUUAUGAAGGGGAUGGACUAGAUGAUCCCUAAAGUUCCUUACAAUUCUGAAAUUAUGUGGUUUUAUUACUUGUUGGUUUUUCUAGUAAAGAAUUGUAAGAAUUAAUUUAAUAAUAACUAUAUAAGAACAAUGUAACAAUUUAUAUAAGGGACUGGAAUUUCUAAAGUGCUUUAAAAAGUUUACAAUCUUGUUUAUUUUAAAAAAAGUAAAUAGUAUAGUUUGAUGGAUACUUUAUCCUUGUGCUAGAAUUAUCACAAAUUCUAAGAGAGUAAAACUGAAUUAAUCUAUAGGAUAUAAGUUUUUGAAGGAAGAGACUGCCUCAUUUUUGCUUUAGGACUCUAGCACCUAGUACAGUGCCUGGCACAUAGUAGGAGUUUGUUGAUUUCUUCAUUGAUCAAAGUUUCCCACAUAUUACAUUGUAUUUUUCCUGCAGACUGUAUACAGUAUACAGGGACCAAUCACACCCUGCUUACGGGAGACUGGAGGAAAAUGUAAUUAUUCAUGCAUCUUAAUUGUAUUAAUAUACACUGUGCCUGUGCAUAUGUACUCUGUGUUUUAAAAAAAAGUUAUCAACUAAAUGAAUCGAUUUGUAAUCAAGGGAUUGCAUGAUGAUGUCAGCAAGUAUCUAUUUUAUCAAAUUAACAGAAGUAGGCAUGAAAACACAAUAACUAAUGAAAAUAGAAUAAGGCAAAAACAGUGAGAUGUAGUAGCAAGGUCUUUGACCAUUUAAACUACUACAAAAUGGCUAACAAAUGACACAUCACUUUAACAAGGUAGGUGUGCCAUUUGUAAGAGGGGAUCCCCCUUGGCUUUAAAUAAUCUGGUAUGACACUGAUCAGAAAACUAGUCAAUCCAAACUCUAAGUUCCAAGGAUAUAUACGAGAUUAAUCCAAAUAGUUCAUUUCCAUAGCACAUGUGAGCAAAAGCUGAUAUUUUAGAGAAAGAUUUCAGUUUUGAGCUCAAGAAAGUGAGGAUAUUUUUGGUGACCCAUCUGUGAAUUAUGUAAAAGAAACAGCAUGGAACAGGGAGAAGAGAUUUAUAAUCAAAAUCCUUUACUAAGAAGUACCUAAAGAUCUUGUAGGCUUCUAUAGAAACAACUCCUUAAGUAUGCUUAGACACAAUAAAUUCAAAUACUUUGCUUAAAUUUGAAAUCGUGUUCUAUAGAAGUUAAUCAACAUGAGACAAAUUACUACAUAUUUUAAAAACAGCAUCAAGUUGUCCAAAGACAAUGACUCUUAACUGUUUACAGGACAUGUACAUUCAUAGUCUUCUAUCCUUUUUUUUUUUUUUAAACAUCAAAGUACCCAGUAUAUUCAAAAUAGAAACCAGAAAGAUGUGAGCCAAAUGUGGUUGAAGAAUCAUUGAAUUUGAACUCUGUUUUAUCUAUCAAACUCUUUAGCUCUCUGACUCUUGGUAAAUCUGGUUGAUUUUUUUUUAAAUAAUCAGCACUUAUGGAUUACUAAAGGAAACUUGAUUCUUCAGGGUAAUAAACAGAUUUCCUUAAAAAAUUUGUGGAGGUUCUACAAUGAGAUGUUAUAAGAAAUCAGGUUCUUAAUAUAUACUUCUUUGUCUCUCUGCCUUACUUUCCCCUUCCCCAAACCCUGAAACAUUAAGCAAAAGUAUAAGGAAACGACUUAAUAUAGCUUUCUUUUUAAGUUAAUAAAUGAUACCAUUUUAAAAUAAAUUGAGUAUUACUGUCUAUUAAGUUUCUCAGCAGAGCCAUUCUCUGUUUCCUGAAGUAAUACUAUUUUAACUACAGUGUACAAGCACAGAGUCUUACCUUACUGGAAUUUUCACCUUACUUCCCAUUGUAGUUUGUGUACUUCAAUGGGCAAAUGUAGACAGGUAAUAUGCAAUGUACCUCUCACCCAUUUAUAAUAUAGAAAGAGCAAUGUGUUCUCCCAUAGAGAAGGAGGGGAGGGACAAACAAUAUUGUGGAAAAGGGAUAAUUAUGAAUAGAAGCAUCUCUUAAUUUCACAUACCUUCUACACUGGUCUCUUCUUUUGUGAAAAAGCAAAAAUACCAAAAUAUUGCAACCCAAAAGAUAUCCUUCCUAGCCCAGGAUUCUAUGACAGCUCCAACUACUUAGAACAGUUAAGUCAGCCAGAGGAGAAAUGCAAAGAUUUGCAUGUUCGUUUCACUAUUGAUUCAUGAGGAUAUCUUGGAUUGCUUCUGUCUUUACCAGUGUUAACUGGCACCAAAAAAGAUAAUUGUAAAAAAUGAAUUUGCCUUUAAAGUUCUUUAGAAGCUUAAGAUGGACUACUAAAUAAAAUUUAAAUUUUCUUGACUGACAUUUAAGGUACUCCCUCUAUAAUCUGGCACAACCCUAUCUUUCCAAACUUCUUUCAUAUUAAUCCAUUCCAAUUACUAUGUGCUCCAGCCAAACUCGCCUACUUCUUGCCCCAUGACUGUGAACAGUACUUUCUCAAACUAUUUUUUUUUUGCCUGACAUGGGUUCCUUUCCCCAUCUUUGCUGGUUAAAUUCCUAUGUUUCUUUUAAAACCCAACUUAAAUACCAUGUCCUCCAUGGAUCUUCUUUGAUUUCCUGAAAUUGGAAUCUUCCUUCUUGGACAAUACUUUGCUUUGCUCUAAAUGCACUUAUGUGAUAUUGCAUACUAUAAUCUCCUUGGAAGAAAGGGACCUUUCUUAAUGAUACUCUCUUCUUCCCUUAGCAUUUAGCACCAUUCUCUGCACACAACAUGUGAUAGAUAAAUAUUGGUUGGUUAAGUGAUUGAUACAUAAACAACAGCAUAUGCUUAAUUCUUGUUCCUAAAAAGAACAUUUGUGUUUCUCAAAUUCUUUUUUUUUUUUUUUGGUUUUCUAAUUUUCCAAAUAUAUCCAAAUAGCCAAUAUCCUUCUCAAGGAUACAAAUAGAAAGGACUUGAUGGGAGGGGGACAUUGUAACUUGAGCUACCAUAGCUCAGUGAACAAUAAAGAUUGUUUUUCUGAGUGUUACUCUUUCACUUUCUGCAGAAUUGUAAAUAAAAUAUGAGUUUGUUUCAUCUAUAUGCUUGAUUUGAUUAGUUCCCUAAAAUAACACUGAAGGGACUGGUUUCAAGAUUAAAGCUUAGUUUUCAGUUUGCUUUAAAAAAAAAAAAGUACAUCAUGUCACCAUAUGUAUUCUUAUUGUCUCUCCCAAAAGAAUGUCAGUUCUUUGAGAGAUGGAUAUUUUCCUGUGACAGCAUAAAUGAUUAAUAACUGUACCAUUUGACUUAUGCUGAUGUUUAGAAGAACUAUGCAGAAGUAAGCAGCAAUGCAUUGUCUCAAUUUUUCUGUAACCUAAAACUCCACAGGAUUUCCUACUUCUGUGUCCUCAGUUCAAUCUUCCCAAACCCAUUUGAAUCCUGUUUUUUCUCUCCUUGAAAAUUCUCCCAAUUCCUUCACUGUUCUUUAGUACUUAAUUUGAUGACUAUCACUCAACUGAUGUGAGACUUAAGACAUUUACAUGUAUAUGGAAAGGAAACUAAAGUUAGAUGAAAAAACCUGGACUCAAAGCCUGGCACCGAUACUUUCUAGAUGUGACACCAUGGACAAGUUAAUUCCUCUCCUGAAAAUUUACUAUGUGUAUCAUACAGUAGCUCUAAAUAGGGAACAUUAUAGGGUAAUGGAAAGAAAACUGGAUUUAAAAUCUGAGGACCGUGAAUUUGAAAUUUGUUAGUUGCUUUCUAUAUGAUCUUGGACAACUCAUUUCAAUUUUAUUAUUUCUAAGGUUCCUUUUAUCUCUAAGUCCAUGUUUUUGGUCAUUUUGUUAUUUAAUUAUUUAUUUUUGCUGAUGCAAUUGGGGUUAAGUGUCUUGCUUCAGGGUCACACAGCUAGGAAGUGUUAUGUCUGAGAACAGAUUUGAACUCAGGUCCUCCUGACUUUAGGGCUGGUGCUCUAUCCACUGCGCCACCUAGCUACCCUUAAAUCCAUGUUGAGGCAACAUCCUUAUUGUGUUUUACCUUGGUCAGACUAUAGAUGUUCAGUUCUAGGAGCCAGACACAUUUUUUUUUUUUUUUUUUUACAAAGACAGUGAUUAGCUGGAGAGUACCUACAGGAGGGUGACCCCAGUGGUGAAAGUUCUUUAGUAAUUCACCUCAUAUGAGGAACAUGUGAGGAUGCUGACUGGAAAACAGAAGAUUUAAGAGGGACAUAAUAGCUAUUUUUCCAUUCAAAAGUGAAAUGAACUAUUUUAGAAAGUAUUGACUUCAUUAUUAGAGACUUUCAAGGAAAAGGUGGAUGGUCACAUGUUGGAGAUGUUAAUAAUCAGCUUUUGUCUAGGUGUGGGUUAGAUAUUGGACGAGAAAAUGACAAACCAAUCUUUGCUAAGAAAAUCCCAUACAGGAUUACAAAGGGUCAGAGAUGAAUGGACAACAACAUGGGUUAAUUGGGGUGGCCUCUGAGGUUGUUUAUUUCCAAUUCUUGAGAUUUUAUUGUGAGCACAUUACUUUGCAUGGCUUAAAGCAUUAGAAAAUUUUAAGUUUU